rnacentral:rRNA from 1 species
UACAGAGGUCCCGAGCGUGUUUCGGAUUCAUUGGGCGUAAAGGGUGCGUAGGCGGUGGGGUAAGUUGGAUGUGAAAUCUUGGGGCUUAACCUCAAAAUUGCAUUCAAAUUACUGCUCCGCUCGAGUUCUGUAGAGGAGAUUGGGAAUUUACGGUGUAGCAGUUGAAAUGCGUAGAUAUCGUAAGGGAACGCCAGUGGCGAAAGCGAACUCUGGGCAGCAACUGACGCUGAGGCACGAAGCCAGGGGGAGCAAACGGGG